AAUAUUGGACAAUGGGGGCAACCCUGAUCCAGCCAUGCCGCGUGUGUGAAUAAGGUCUUCGGAUUAUAAAGCACAUUAAGUUGGGAGGAAGGGCUUUAGGUUCAUACCCUGAAGAUUUGACGUUACCAACAGAAUAAGCACUGACUAACACUGUGCAAGCCGCCGCGGUAAUACAGAGGGUGCAAGCGUUAAUCAGAAUUAUUGGGCGUAAAGCGUGCGUAGGUGGUUCAGUAAGAUGGGUGUGAAAUCCCCGGGCUUAACCUGGGAACUGCUUUCAUAACUGCUGAGCUAGAGUACGGUAGAGGGUAGUGGAAUUUCCUGUGUAGCGGUGAAAUGCGUAGAUAUAGGAAGGAACACCAGUGGCGAAGGCGACUACCUGGACUGAUACUGACACUGAGGUGCGAAAGCGUGGGGAGCAAACAG
rnacentral:rRNA from 1 species